rnacentral:rRNA from 1 species
UACGUAGGGUGCGAGCGUUAAUCGGAAUUACUGGGCGUAAAGCGUGCGCAGGCGGUUUUGUAAGCCGGAUGUGAAAUCCCCGGGCUUAACCUGGGAAUGGCAUUCGGGACUGCAAGGCUGGAGUGCGGCAGAGGAGACUGGAAUUCCUGGUGUAGCAGUGAAAUGCGUAGAUACCAGGAGGAACACCGAUGGCGAAGGCAGGUCUCUGGGCUGACACUGACGCUCAUGCACGAAAGCGUGGGGAGCAAACAGG